rnacentral:rRNA from 1 species
AUUGAACGCUGGCGGCAGGCUUAACACAUGCAAGUCGAGCGGGGUGAUGGUGCUUGCACUAUCACUUAGCGGCGGACGGGUGAGUAAUGCUUAGGAAUCUGCCUAUUAGUGGGGGACAACAUCUCGAAAGGGAUGCUAAUACCGCAUACGUCCUACGGGAGAAAGCAGGGGAUCACUUGUGACCUUGCGCUAAUAGAUGAGCCUAAGUCGGAUUAGCUAGUUGGGGGGGUAAAGGCCGACCAAGGCGACGAUCUGUAGCGGGUCUGAGAGGAUGAUCCGCCACACUGGGACUGAGACACGGCCCAGACUCCUACGGGAGGCAGCAGUGGGGAAUAUUGGACAAUGGGGGGAACCCUGAUCCAGCCAUGCCGCGUGUGUGAAGAAGGCCUUAUGGUUGUAAAGCACUUUAAGCGAGGAGGAGGCUUACCUAGUUAAUACCUGGGAUAAGUGGACGUUACUCGCAGAAUAAGCACCGGCUAACUCUGUGCCAGCAGCCGCCGCCG